UACAACUCAGGUAAUACUCAGGUAAAACUCAGGUAAUACCAUGUAAUACUCAUAUACAACUCAGGUAAUACUCAGGUAAAACUCAGAUACAACUCAGGUAAUACUCAGGUAAUACUCAUAUACAACUCAGGUAAUACUCAUGUAAAACUCAGAUACAACUCAUGUAAUACUCAGAUAAUACUCAGGUAAUACUCACAGUGUUACUCAGGUAAUACUGAGGUAAUACUCAGAUACAACUAAGGUAAAACUCAGGUAAUACUCAGGUAAUACUCAGAUACAACUCAGGUAAUACUCAGAAACAACUCAGGUAAAACUCAGGUAAUACUGAGGUAAUACUCAGAUACAACUAAGGUAAAACUCAGGUAAUACUCAGAAACAACUCAGGUAAUACUCAGAAACAACUCAGGUAAUACUCAGAUAAUACUCAGGUAAUACUCACAGUGUUACUCAGGUAAUACUGAGGUAAUACUCAGAUACAACUAAGGUAAAACUCAGGUAAUACUCAGGUAAUACUCAGAUACAACUCAGGUAAUACUCAGAAACAACUCAGGUAAUACUCAGGUAAUACUCAGAUACAACUCAGGUAAUACUCAGAAACAACUCAGGUAAAACUCAGGUAAUACUGAGGUAAUACUCAGAUACAACUAAGGUAAAACUCAGGUAAUACUCAGGUAAUACUCAGAAACAACUCAGGUAAUACUCAGAUAAUACUCAGGUAAUACUCAGAUAAUACUCAGGUAAUACUCACAGUGUUACUCAGGUAAUACUGAGGUAAUACUCAGAAACAACUCAGGUAAUACUCAGGUAAUACUCAGAUACAACUCAGGUAAUACUCAGAAACAACUCAGGUAAAACUCAGGUAAUACUCAGGUAAAACUCAGGUAAUACUCAGGUAAUACUCAGAAACAACUCAGGUAAAACUCAGAUACAACUCAGGUAAUACUCAGAUACAACUCAGGUAAUACUCAGAUACAACUCAGGUAAUACUCAGAUACAACUCAGGUAAUACUCAGGUAAUACUCACAGUGUUACUCAGGUAAUACUUAGGUAAUACUCAGGUAAUACUCAGAUACAACUCAGGUAAUACUCAGAUACAACUCAGGUAAUACUCAGGUUAUACUCAGGUAAUACUCAGUGUUACUCAGGUAAUGCUCAGAUAAUACUCAGGUAAUACUCAGGUAAUACUCAGAAACAACUCAGGUAAUACUCAGAUACAACUCAGGUAAUACUUAGAUAAUACUCAGGUAAUACUCAGAUAAUACUCAGAAACAACUCAGGUAAUACUCAGGUAAUGCUCAGAUACAACUCAGGUAAUACUCAGGUAAUACUCAGGUAAAACUCAGGUAAUACUCAGGUAAUACUCAGAUACAACUCAGGUAAAACUCAGGUAAUACUCAGAUACAACUCAGGUAAUACCCAGAUUAUACUCAGGUAAUACUCACAGUGUUACUCAGGUAAUACUCACAGUGUUACUCCUCAGGUAAUACUCAGGUAAUACCCAGAUAAUACUCAGGUAAUACUCAGAUACAACUCAGGUAAUACUCAGGUAAUACUCAGAUACAACUCAGGUAAUAUUCAGGUAAUACUCAGGUAAUACUCAGUGUUACUCAGGUAAUGCUCAGAUAAUACUCAGGUAAUACUCAGGUAAUACUCAGAAACAACUCAGGUAAUACUCAGAUACAACUCAGGUAAUACUUAGAUAAUACUCAGGUAAUACUCAGAUAAUACUCAGAAACAACUCAGGUAAUACUCAGGUAAUGCUCAGAUACAACUCAGGUAAUACUCAGGUAAUACUCAGGUAAAACUCAGGUAAUACUCAGGUAAUACUCAGAUACAACUCAGGUAAUACUCAGAUACAACUCAGGUAAUACUGAGGUAAUACUCAGAUACAACUCAGGUAAAACUCAUAUACAACUCAGGUAAUACUGAGGUAAUACUCAGAUACAACUCAGGUAAUACUCAGGUAAUACUCAGAUACAACUCAGGUAAAACUCAGGUAAUACUCAGAUACAACUCAGGUAAUACCCAGAUUAUACUCAGGUAAUACUCACAGUGUUACUCAGGUAAUACUCACAGUGUUACUCCUCAGGUAAUACCCAGAUAAUACUCAGGUAAUACUCAGAUACAACUCAGGUAAUACUCAGGUAAUACUCAGAUACAACUCAGGUAAUACUCAGGUAAUACUCAGAUACAACUCAGGUAAUACUCAGGUAAUACUCAGGUAAUACUCAGAUACAACUCAGGUAAUACUCAGGUAAUACCCAGAUAAUACUCAGGUAAUACUCAGAUACAACUCAGGUAAUAUUCAGGUAAUACUCAGGUAAUACUCAGAUACAACUCAGGUAAUACUCAGGUAAUACUCAGGUAAUACUCAUCAUCAACUUUUAUGUUGGUUUUAGUAAACCAGAGCUCCCUAUUGGUCCAGAUAUGAUUCCAUUAAUCAUCCCCAGCCAAUCAGAGUGUUUCCUG